AACGAACGCUGGCGGCAUGCCUAACACAUGCAAGUCGAACGAAGGCUUCGGCCUUAGUGGCGCACGGGUGCGUAACGCGUGGGAAUCUGCCCUUUGGUUCGGAAUAACAGCUGGAAACGGCUGCUAAUACCGGAUGAUGACGAAAGUCCAAAGAUUUAUCGCCAGAGGAUGAGCCCGCGUUGGAUUAGGUGGUUGGUGGGGUAAAGGCCUACCAAGCCGACGAUCCAUAGCUGGUCUGAGAGGAUGAUCAGCCACACUGGGACUGAGACACGGCCCAGACUCCUACGGGAGGCAGCAGUGGGGAAUAUUGGACAAUGGGCGCAAGCCUGAUCCAGCAAUGCCGCGUGAGUGAUGAAGGCCCUAGGGUUGUAAAGCUCUUUUACCCGGGAAGAUAAUGACUGUACCGGGAGAAUAAGCCCCGGCUAACUCCGUG
rnacentral:rRNA from 1 species